UUUUUUUUAUUUAUGUAGCUUUGUUUUUGGUAAAUCAUAGAAAACCAGUUCAAUUUGUUCUUGGAAUUUACUUUUUUACAACUUAAGUUUAAGAAACAGUAGCUGUGGGCCACAGACCUCUGUGUAUGAGUGUUUACAAAGCUGAGCCGGUCUUUGUGUUUGCACAACAAAGAUGAGGUUGAUGUUUGACCAAAGAUGAGGUUGAUGUUUGACCUUCUGUUUUCAGUGCAGAGGACAUAGAGCAGAACCACUGAGGUGCACACACCGUGCAGAUGAAUUCACAACAAACUCCACAUUUCCAACACAACCGGUUGAGCCGGUCCAUCCUAGAGAGAGGAAACCAGCAGGGACUCACUGGAUAAAAGCUACAAUAAACUACCAAGAAAGAAAGUGUUUUCUUUGCUAAAGCAGUUUCUCAGGUUAGACGUCUGGUUUCGCCCUCUGUGUGUCUGUGAUGGACUGGAGCCCAGUCCAGGGUGGGCCUCGUCUCACAGUGGCUGAUGGAGAUGAGUACCAGGGACUUGUUAAGAUGGAACCGCUCUCUUGUCAGAGGUCACCACAGUGGAUCAUGGAUCUUUCAGUUUUCCACCACUUCCUGGUUACGGCACAGUUCUUAACCUGAGCCCCGGCCAGUCAGGUAAGGCUUUUGUGGGUCCACGAUUGUUUUACCGCAAGUUUUUAGCCCUCAUAUUUUAUCCAAACUCUGGACCGGCACAC